UACGUAGGUGACUAGCGUUGUCCGGAUUUACUGGGCGUAAAGAGCGCGCAGGCGGUCGUUCAAGUCGCGUGUGAAAGCCCCCGGCUCAACUGGGGAGGGUCACGCGAUACUGAUCGACUCGAAGGCAGGAGAGGGAAGUGGAAUUCCCGGUGUAGUGGUGAAAUGCGUAGAUAUCGGGAGGAACACCAGUGGCGAAGGCGACUUCCUGGCCUGUUCUUGACGCUGAGGCGCGAAAGCUAGGGGAGCAAACGGGG
rnacentral:rRNA from 1 species